rnacentral:rRNA from 1 species
UACGGAAGGCAGCAGUGGGGAAUAUUGCACAAUGGGCGCAAGCCUGAUGCAGCCAUGCCGCGUGUAUGAAGAAGGCCUUCGGGUUGUAAAGUACUUUCAGCGGGGAGGAAGGCGAUGUGGUUAAUAACCGCGUCGAUUGACGUUACCCGCAGAAGAAGCACCGGCUAACUCCGUGCCAGCAGCCGCGGUAAUACGGAGGGUGCAAGCGUUAAUCGGAAUUACUGGGCGUAAAGCGCACGCAGGCGGUCUGUUAAGUCAGAUGUGAAAUCCCCGGGCUUAACCUGGGAACUGCAUUUUGAAACUGGCAGGCUUGAGUCUCGUAGAGGGGGUAGAAUUCCAGGUGUAGCGGUGAAUGCGUAGAGAUCUGGAGGAAUACCGGUGGCGAAGGCGGCCCCUGGGACGAAGACUGACGCUCAGGUGCGAAAGCGUGGGGAGCAAACAGGAUUAGGAUACC